rnacentral:rRNA from 1 species
GGGUGCGAUCAUACCAGCACUAAUGCACCGGAUCCCAUCAGAACUCCGCAGUUAAGCGUGCUUGAGCGAGAAUAGUUCUAAGAUGGGCUUGUCUUAUGACUU